ensembl:lncRNA
GAGCUAAAUUGUAUGUCACCAUCUCAAAAUGCAUCUCCUUAUGCUGACCAUUGGGGUUGUGCUGUUCCCUAAAUAAGGAUACCUUCUGGAGUUUUCAGUCUCAUCACUAAGUGGUGUCUGACUGUUCACUUCUGGUUGGUUGUCAGUACCUGGUUCCUGUGAACUGGUACUGGGGCUUUCCCUGUUCACAUUUGGUCUCUCCCUCACCUUUAUGUCCUCAUCCUCAGAUGUCGUAUCAGUUUGUGUUUGCUUUUCCUCAUUGUGUUUGGUUACAAACUUAACCAGCCUAAACUUUUGCACUUUAGCGCUGUCUGGGAAAUAAACCUUGUAUGCUGGACUGUUUUUGUCGUAGCCUACAAAAAUCCCUUUUGUACACCUAGAAUUGAGCUUCCCCUUGUCUUGCUUGUAAGCAUAACACUCACACCCAAACUUUCGCAUUCUGGAUAGAUUAGGCUUCCGCCCAGUCAGCAAAAAGUAAGGUGUCUGUCCUGUCUGGUUGUUAAAGCACCUGUUUCUCACAAUAGCCGCUGUUUGAACUGCAUAUGUCCAUAAUUCCUUUGGUACGGUACUCUCAAUAAGCAUGCACCUUCCCAUAUCAAAAAGUGUUCUCCAGCCACGUUCUGCUGUACCAUUCUGGUGAGGGGAAUAUGGGGCUGAAGUUUCAUGUCUUAUUCCAUGUUUGUUUAACAAUGCCUGAUAACUCUUUGCCAUGAACUCUGUGCCAUUGUCUGACCUGAUACACUUUACCUUCCCGUGUGGGGCUGUAUCGGCCAAAAAGAUUUCAGUUGCUUGCACUGUUUCACGUUUGUUUUUGAGAAAAUAUACAAAUACUGCACCGGAAAAAUCAUCGGUAAACAAUAAUGCAUAUCUGUGUCCAUCUCGUGAUUCUGGAUCUAUCGGCCCUGCUAGAUCCGCAUGUACCAGCUUGAGAGGUUUCUCGGCUCUUCUGUCAGGGUUUCUAUUCCUAGUCUGGACAAAUUUUCCCUGGAUACACACCUCACAGUUCAAACUUUGGUUGUCUGUUUUCCCUUUGAUUUUC